CCUACGGGUGGCUGCAGUGGGGAAUAUUGCACAAUGGGCGCAAGCCUGAUGCAGCCAUGCCGCGUGUGUGAAGAAGGCCUUCGGGUUGUAAAGCACUUUCAGCGGGGAGGAAGGCGGUGAGGUUAAUAACCUCAUCGAUUGACGUUACCCGCAGAAGAAGCACCGGCUAACUCCGUGCCAGCAGCCGCGGUAAUACGGAGGGUGCAAGCGUUAAUCGGAAUUACUGGGCGUAAAGCGCACGCAGGCGGUCUGUCAAGUCGGAUGUGAAAUCCCCGGGCUCAACCUGGGAACUGCAUUCGAAACUGGCAGGCUAGAGUCUUGUAGAGGGGGGUAGAAUUCCAGGUGUAGCGGUGAAAUGCGUAGAGAUCUGGAGGAAUACCGGUGGCGAAGGCGGCCCCCUGGACAAAGACUGACGCUCAGGUGCGAAAGCGUGGGGAGCAAACAGGAUUGGAUACCCGAGUAGUC
rnacentral:rRNA from 1 species